rnacentral:rRNA from 1 species
UACGUAGGGGGCAAGCGUUGUCCGGAAUCAUUGGGCGUAAAGCGCGUGUAGGCGGCCCGGAAAGUCUGGUGUGAAAACUUGAGGCUCAACCUCAAGCUGUCACUGGAUACUGUCGGGCUUGAAUCUGGAAGAGGAGAGUGGAAUUCCUGGUGUAGCGGUGGAAUGCGCAGAUAUCAGGAGGAACACCCGUGGCGAAAGCGGCUCUCUGGGACGGUACUGACGCUGAGACGCGAAAGCGUGGGGAGCAAACAGG